UACAGAGGUCUCAAGCGUUGUUCGGAUUCAUUGGGCGUAAAGGGUGCGUAGGUGGCGCGGUAAGUCGGGUGUGAAAUCUCGGAGCUUAACUCCGAAAUUGCAUUCGAUACUGCCGUGCUCGAGGACUGGAGAGGAGACUGGAAUUCACGGUGUAGCAGUGAAAUGCGUAGAGAUCAUGAGGAAGACCAGUGGCGAAGGCGGGUCUCUGGACAGUUCCUGACACUGAGGCACGAAGGCCAGGGGAGCAAACGGG
rnacentral:rRNA from 1 species